AGAGAAGAAGGAGAAGAAGAAGGAAGGAAGGAAGGGAAGAAGGAGAAGGAGAAGAAGGAAGGAAAGGCAUGAAGGAAGGUUUAGAAGGAAAGGCAGAGGAGGAAGGAGAAGAAGGAAAUGAUAGACAUAGGAGGAGAGGAAAGAGAUAAAGGCAGGCAAGGAAGAAAGAAAGGAAAAGGAGGAAAGAGUGGAUGGAUGGAUGGAUGGAUGGAUGGAUGGAUGGGAAGCAAGGUGGGAGGAAAGGGAGGAAAGAGAAGAAGGAUAGAAGAAGAAGGAAGAGAAAGGAAAUGAGAGGAAAGAAGGAAGGAAAGUUUGGAAGUAAAGGGAGAAGAGGAAGGAAACGGAGGAGAGGAUGGAUGGAAGGAAGGAAGGGCAUGAAGGGAAGGUUUAGAAGCAAAGGCAGAGGAGGAAGGAGAAGAAGGAGAUGACGGAUGGAUGGAAAGAGAGGAAGGAGAUAAAGGCAGGCAAGGAAGA